AACGAACGCUGGCGGCAUGCCUAACACAUGCAAGUCGAACGUAGCCUUCGGGCUUAGUGGCGCACGGGUGCGUAACGCGUGGGAAUCUGCCCUUGGGUUCGGAAUAACAGUUAGAAAUGACUGCUAAUACCGGAUGAUGUCUUCGGACCAAAGAUUUAUCGCCCAAGGAUGAGCCCGCGUAGGAUUAGGUAGUUGGUGGGGUAAUGGCCCACCAAGCCGAAGAUCCUUAGCUGGUCCGAGAGUAUGAUCAGCCACACUGGGACUGAGACACGGCCCAGACUCCUACGGGAGGCAGCAGUGGGGAAUAUUGGACAAUGGGCGAAAGCCUGACCCAGCAAUGCCGCGUGAGUGAUGAAGGCCUUAGGGUUGUAAAGCUCUUUUACCAGGGAUGAUAAUGACAGUACCUGGAGAAUAAGCUCCGGCUAACUCCGUGCCAGCCGCCGCCGUAAGAC
rnacentral:rRNA from 1 species